GACACUGAAUGGCGUGUGGGUCGGACGCUAGCCACACUAAAUGGAGGAUGAGUGCCCUGCAGGAUCUGCAAUCCCAACCCUUACCCGGCAGGCAGUCACGUGCGCCACCUGGAAGAGAUGUUCAGUCGGCUCCAUCAGCAUGGAUUGAAGUUACAGCUGAAAAAGUGUCGCCUGUUCCAAUGAGAGGUCACUUAGCUGGGACAUGUCAUCAGUGAGAGGGGAGUGGGUACUGACCCAGCAAAGACAACUGCAGCACGAGACUGGCCAGUGCCCUAGACGGUAAAGCAGAUGUCUAGACCUCUUAACCUCCCACCCAGAUACAAAAUCCUGCAGGAUACACCAGGUGUGAAACACAACCUAGGGGGUCGGAGCCAAUACUUGCAGCAGACAAAAGAGUGUCAAAACACUGGGUAGGGGCACCGCUCCCUGCCGCAGACAGAAGGGUGUGAAACACAUCCUAAGAGGCGGUCCUCAGGUAUAAAUGUUUAAGCUUUCCCAUGCUCGGGGUCUUUCUUCAUUCUGACCGCUCGUGUGCUGAUUGACCUUUUCUUUGCAAAGAAAAUAAAAAACCUUGUCGGCC